GACGAACGCUGGCGGCGUGCUUAACACAUGCAAGUCGAACGGAAAGGCCCCUUUGGGGGUACUCGAGUGGCGAACGGGUGAGUAACACGUGAGUAACCUGCCCUUGACUUCGGGAUAACUUCAGGAAACUGGGGCUAAUACCGGAUAGGAAUCCUUGCUGCAUGGUGGGGGUUGGAAAGCUUCGGCGGUUUUGGAUGGACUCGCGGCUUAUCAGUUUGUUGGUGGGGUAGUGGCUUACCAAGGCUUUGACGGGUAGCCGGCCUGGGAGGGCGACCGGCCACAUUGGGACUGGGAUACGGCCCAGACUCCUACGGGAGGCAGCAGUGGGGAAUAUUGCACAAUGGGCGGAAGCCUGAUGCAGCAACGCCGCGUGCGGGAUGACGGCCUUCGGGUUGUAAACCGCUUUCAGCAGGGGCGAAGCUUGUGGUGACGGUACCUGCAGAAGAAGCACCGGCUAACUACGUG
rnacentral:rRNA from 1 species